rnacentral:rRNA from 1 species
UACAGAGGGUGCAAGCGUUAAUCGGAAUUACUGGGCGUAAAGCGUGCGUAGACGGUCAUGUAAGUCGGGUGUGAAAGCCCCGGGCUCAACCUGGGAAUUGCAUUCGAGACUGCAUGGCUAGGGUGCGGAAGAGGGAAGCGGAAUUUCCGGUGUAGCGGUGAAAUGCGUAGAGAUGUGGAGGAACACCGAUGGCGAAGGCAGCCUCCUGGGCCAGCACUGACGCUCAUGCACGAAAGCGUGGGGAGCAAACAGG